UACGUAGGGUGCGAGCGUUAAUCGGAAUUACUGGGCGUAAAGCGUGCGCAGGCGGUUGAUUAAGUCUGAUGUGAAAGCCCCGGGCUCAACCUGGGAAUGGCAUUGGAAACUGGUCAGCUGGAGUGUGGCAGAGGGGGGUGGAAUUCCGCGUGUAGCAGUGAAAUGCGUAGAGAUGCGGAGGAACACCGAUGGCGAAGGCAGCCCCCUGGGCCAACACUGACGCUUAGGCACGAAAGCGUGGGGAGCAAACAGG
rnacentral:rRNA from 1 species